rnacentral:rRNA from 1 species
CCUACGGGGGGCAGCAGUGGGGAAUAUUGGACAAUGGGCGAAAGCCUGAUCCAGCCAUGCCGCGUGUGUGAAGAAGGCCUUCGGGUUGUAAAGCACUUUCAGUGGGGAAGAAAGCCUUGGGGCUAAUACCCUCGAGGAAGGACAUCACCCACAGAAGAAGCACCGGCUAACUCCGUGCCAGCAGCCGCGGUAAUACGGAGGGUGCGAGCGUUAAUCGGAAUUACUGGGCGUAAAGCGCGCGUAGGCGGUCUGAUAAGCCGGUUGUGAAAGCCCCGGGCUCAACCUGGGAACGGCAUCCGGAACUGUCAGGCUAGAGUGCAGGAGAGGAAGGUAGAAUUCCCGGUGUAGCGGUGAAAUGCGUAGAGAUCGGGAGGAAUACCAGUGGCGAAGGCGGCCUUCUGGACUGACACUGACGCUGAGGUGCGAAAGCGUGGGUAGCAAACAGGAUUAGAUACCCGGGUGUC